UCAUACACACACACACACACACACAUAGACACGCACACACACGCACACAUACAUAUAAACUAGAUUAUAAAUCAGCAUGGCUAGCUUUACUAUCCUUUUUGAUGAAUCCAUUGGCUUCCAUCAGUUUAUUGCAGUCAUACUGAGUUAAG